UCUCGGCGGGGCUGAGGCGGCGGCUGGGCGCAGAGUUUAAUAUUUCCAGAGAAAUGUGACCUCUUCAGUACAGGGAGCAGACAGCUCUCUGAAAGUGACACUAAUGUGAAGAUGUGACGGCUGUACACAAGUCAUGUGGAAGGAAGCGAGACUGCAGGAGCAGGAGGUUCUUCCAGGUGUAUACAUGGUGGAAAUGUGAUGUCUGAGGAAGAAGAAAUCUGUUAAAAUAGGGAAGUGAGCAGAGCAGUAGUCACCAAAAACUGAUGUGUUUUACUGUAUUAAGAUUUUGAGAAACAUUAAAAAUGAUGCUGUUGUGCAUCUAUUAAAGUUAUCCAAACAAGUUG